UACGUAGGGUGCAAGCGUUAAUCGGAAUUACUGGGCGUAAAGCGUGCGCAGGCGGUUUUGUAAGUCUGUCGUGAAAUCCCCGGGCUCAACCUGGGAAUUGCGAUGGAGACUGCAAGGCUAGAAUCUGGCAGAGGGGGGUAGAAUUCCACGUGUAGCAGUGAAAUGCGUAGAGAUGUGGAGGAACACCGAUGCGAAGGCAGCCCCCUGGGUCAAGAUUGACGCUCAUGCACGAAAGCGUGGGGAGCAACAGGAUUAGACGUAC
rnacentral:rRNA from 1 species